AGUCGGUUGGUCCAGCCCGGUAAGACACCUGCCCGACACGCAGGGGAUCAUCGGUUCAAAUCCGAUACCGACUA
rnacentral:tRNA from 1 species